GUUUUCUUGGAUCUAGGGCAUAAACCAUGAACUCUUAAGUAUUCAUUUGUUAUAAGAGCAAUUUAUAUAGUUUCUUUAAGUGGCCAGGUUGGCUGAAAUUUAAACACUUUGCAGACACAUGUCUUUGAACAGUAUAGAUUUCUAAAGCUGAUAAUUUUGUUCUAUGUUUUAGGUCUCAAGUUUUCUACAUAAUUUAGAAAGUCCAUAACAUUUCCUGUCUCUCUCUGAAGCCUGAUUGAUCCUUGGCAGUAUUCACUGAUAUAAUGGUUUAUAUAUGCUCUGCCCAGGGAGUGGCACUAUUAGAAGGUGUGAGCCUGUUGGGGUACGUGUGACCUUGUUGGAGUAGGUGUAUCACUGUGGGUGUAGGCUUUAAGACCAUCAUCCUAGCUGCCUGGAUGCAGUAUUCUGCUAGCAGCUUUCAGAUGAAGAUGUCGAACUCUCAGCUGUGCCUGCACCCUGCUUAUCUGGAUGCCACCAUGUUCCUGCCUUGAUGAUAAUGAACUAAACCUCUGAACAUGUAAGCUAGCCCCAAUUAAAUGUCCCUAUAAGAGUUGCCUUGGGGGCUGGUGAGAUGGCUCAGUGGGUAAGAGCACCUGACUGCUCUUUCAAAGGUCCUGAGUUCACAUCCCAGCAACCACAUGGUAGCCCAUCUGUAACGAGAUCUGACUCCCUCUUCUGGAGUGUCUGAAGACAGCUACAGUGUACUUACAUAUUAAAAAAAAAAAAAAAGAGUUGCCUUGGUCAUGGUGUCUGUUCACAGUGGUGAAACUCUUAAGACAAUUGACAUUAUCAAAAUCCAGCUGUUUUAAAAAUAACUCUUGAAUUUGAUCCCAUUUUACUUAUUUCUCAAUAGCACUUUUGAGCCUCACUAUGGAAUCAGCAUAGAGCUCAGAGGAACCUUUCUUUAAUUUUUAUAGAAGUAGAACUGAUGUCAGGUCAGCAGGACCUUUGUUCCCCAGAUGUGGAAGGAGAAUGUGGGUAGAAGGUUUUAGGAACAUUGCACUGUAAUCUUGAAAGUUCUUGGAAAUUGAUUAUGUAAAAUCCAUGUAACACAUGCUUUCCUGUAUUUAAUGGUUUCAUUAUUGAAAAGAAAAAGAAAAGAAGUCCUCUCUGAGAGAAGACAGAGAGUGCGAUCAACACAUCCCUGUGUGUUCAUUCUUCCUUCUCCAACUCCACCCUUCCUCAAGAUCUGAACUGCACAAGAGCUGGACUCCAGUAUCAGAUGCUAUAUCAGUUUUAUCCAGGCAGCCUUGGCUAUGCCCCUAAAAUAUGGGAACACAGCAGGAGGUUUAUUACAUAGCUGGUAAUCUGUGGGUACCUAUCAUAACUCCCUGUCAGCAUUUCAUAUACCACAUUUCCACAAUUACCCCUUAGUCCCAGUUGUCCAAAUUUUUCAUGAGCUUUAUUUGCAAGCCACAUGUAGCAUCGAAGAGAUUGGGAAGCACUAACAACCAUUUGGGCAAAUGUGUGAAAAUCAUAUGGCAGCCAUUGUGCGUCAUUGCUCCAAACAGAAAGAUAGUUACAAGAGUAUGAAGAACUAGAUCAUAGGAAGCAAAAGUCUUUUAAAAGUCUUUCAUUGGGCUGGUGAGAUGGCUCAGUGGGUAAGAGCACCCGACUGCUCUUCCGAAGGUCAGGAGUUCAAAUCCCAGCAACCACAUGGUGGCUCACAACCAUCCGUAACAAGAUCUGACUCCCUCUUCUGGAGUGUCUGAGGACAGCUACAGUGUGCUUUACAUGUAAUAAAGAAAUAAAGAAAGAAAUAAAUCUUUAAAAAAAAAGUCUUUCAUUAUAUCCAUACCUAAUCCCUAAUAAGCAUUUUGAUUUGCUGAAAUUGUACAGGAAAUAUUAAGCACACAUCAAAAUGCCUGGGAAGAACUGGCAAACAAUUCCUCUUUUCAGCCAUGUCCCAUGCUUCAGGGUCAUUUUCAGGCAGUAGAGGCACAUAUUUAAAGGAGGUUUCAGUAAGGGCACUCAGGAGACCAUCAGUUGACAUAGUUGUCAGUUGUGUCACUUUUACCUUUAAUUUUGCCUAAAUGGGAGCAAUCUCCCUUAAAAUUAAAACAUUAUAUUCCAUUCUCCUGCUCUCUCUCCCAAACCUUCAUCAGACUUGAGACACCUAGGUAAGCUUCCUUUUGCCCACCCAUCUUCCCUGCUCUCUGAGCCCUCUGGGCCAAGCCAACCUGCCCUGAGUAGCCUGCUAUUCCAGGGAGACCUCCAUUCUCCUGCCAUGUCUCCACCUACCAUCAUCGGACCUGAGGCUUCUGAAUCAUAAGAGACCUGCAGGUCUGGAACCAUACAGCCCAAGAUAACUAUCAGAGGCCUUCCACACCAAUACAAGCUUGGUACUUCCCCUUCCCAAUAGUUACUACAACAAGAACAUCCAGGUACCAAAACCAUUCAGAUGAUAAAGUCUCUUUAAAGAACACAAUCAACACAAGCUGGGGAAAUAUGACAGCUCCAAAGUACAGCUACCCUGGAUAUCCUAACAACUGAAACACAAGAAAAAUGACCUGUAAUCUAAUCUUAUAAAGAUGAUAGAGGCCUUUACAGAGGAAAUGAAUAAAUCCCUUAAAGUAAUACAGAAAUAUACAAUCAGAGGUCUUUAAAGAGGAAACAGUUUCCUUAAAAUCAUACAAGAAAAUACAAUUAAACAGGUGAAGGAAAUAAACUGCAAGACCUGAAAGGGGAAAUAGAAGC
rnacentral:lncRNA from 1 species